UUGCCCAAAAUUUAAGCGUGAAUAUCAAUUAAGCAGAUCUAGGGUUUUGAUGCUGAAGUCUAGUCUGCUCCCCAAAAUCACUAGAACUAUAAACUUCUCUCCCCCAUCAUUGAUCGAAUCAUCCUCCGCUCAACCAUCACCGAUGGAAUCAUCCUCCGCUCCACCUCACUGUCAACGACGUCCCCUGAAUCACAUGGCAACGAUUUCACACCGUCCGUUCGCACCACCACUCCGUCACCGGAACACUCGCAGUCAUCACCGGCCACUCGUUUCAAGCCCUUAGAUAUAUCAAAAGUUUGACUUAAGGAAGAGCUGGCUAGCUGGGGGAAUUUUAGAGGCGAGGAAUCCUACAUGCUAAUAUGUACAAGAUCCAUUGUGAAGCGACCGUUUUUCAUUUUUCAUCUACUGGUAUGGUUUAGUUUCAAUGUCAAAAGAAUCCUUGUAAGUUGUUGGUUUGUUUGACCUCAAAAUUCAAACUUGAUCAUUUUUCAUCUACUGGUGUGGUUUAGUUUAUUUUUGAACAACCAAAUGCAACUCUUGGAUCAUGUAUGCAGCUGGUCAAUAACUUAUUAAGACCUGCUAUCAACAACCAACAGAUUCUCUCCGAGUCUAUUUCAUUACUGGUAAGAAUCUUUCUUGAUUCUUACUGAUAUAGACAAAAAAGGGUGCGAUUAGUCUUGAGAAAUUGAGUCAGAUUGAAAAGUUGAACUUAGUUAUCAAGGAGCUCGUUAAGGAAAAAGACGAAGAAAAAGAAAGGUUCAAUGGAAUUAUUGCGGGGUUGUUGGCUGAUAAAGAAAAAGAUAAGGUGGAUAAAGAUGCUAUGCUUGAUAGGAUGUCACAAAUUGAAGCUAUGUUAACAGCUACAGUUCGAAGAUAGGCUAUAAACACUUGAUUUUGAAUGUUUAGAUGUUUAUCUUAUUAGGAUAAUUUUAGUUAUUCUAUGUUUUAGUUGGUAUUUUUAUAUGCUUUUGAAAACGAGAUGUUUUAUAUAAUUUUGUGAUUUUAUUAGACUUUUUUAUAUUAUUUGUAGUUUUAUUGAUAUGUAAUUUUGAUGAAAAUAGUAGGGAGAAAAAAAAAUCUGAAUUAAAAAC
rnacentral:lncRNA from 1 species